AUUGAACGCUGGCGGCAGGCCUAACACAUGCAAGUCGAGCGGAUGAAGGGAGCUUGAUCCUGGAUUCAGCGGCGGACGGGUGAGUAAUGCCUAGGAAUCUGCCUGGUAGUGGGGGAUAACGUCCGGAAACGGGCGCUAAUACCGCAUACGUCCUGAGGGAGAAAGUGGGGGAUCUUCGGACCUCACGCUAUCAGAUGAGCCUAGGUCGGAUUAGCUAGUUGGUGGGGUAAAGGCCUACCAAGGCGACGAUCCGUAACUGGUCUGAGAGGAUGAUCAGUCACACUGGAACUGAGACACGGUCCAGACUCCUACGGGAGGCAGCAGUGGGGAAUAUUGGACAAUGGGCGAAAGCCUGAUCCAGCCAUGCCGCGUGUGUGAAGAAGGUCUUCGGAUUGUAAAGCACUUUAAGUUGGGAGGAAGGGCAGUAAGUUAAUACCUUGCUGUUUUGACGUUACCAACAGAAUAAGCACCGGCUAACUUCGUG
rnacentral:rRNA from 1 species